rnacentral:rRNA from 1 species
UCGGGAAUUUUGGGCAAUGGGCGAAAGCCUGACCCAGCAACGCCGCGUGAAGGAUGAAGUAUUUCGGUAUGUAAACUUCGAAAGAAUAGGAAGAAUAAAUGACGGUACUAUUUAUAAGGUCCGGCUAACUACGUGCCAGCAGCCGCGGUAAUACAGGGGGUGCGAGCGUUAAUCGGAAUUACUGGGCGUAAAGGGCGCGUAGGCGGUCGAGUAAGUCGGAUGUGAAAUCCCCGGGCUUAACCUGGGAAUUGCAUUCGAUACUGCUUGGCUAGAGUGUGGAAGAGGGAAGCGGAAUUUCCGGUGUAGCGGUGAAAUGCGUAGAUAUCGGAAGGAACACCAGUGGCGAAGGCGGCUUCCUGGUCUCAUACUGACGCUGAGGCACGAAAGCAUGGGGAGCAAACAGGAUUAGAUACCCGCGUAGUCCCUGAGCGGGCUGGCAAGGCGCAU